rnacentral:misc_RNA from 1 species
AAUUCUCAAAUCCUUUCAGCUUUGUCUGAAGAGGUUUGGAUGUGGAGGGCUUGCAGGCUUUGUAACAUAGGUCAGCUCCUCUGAAAUGCAUUAGAGGAACCGUUUGCAGUUUGUCCGCAGGUGUGAUAAUUAUCUAUACCUUAUGGCACUGCUCUCUGUCAUUGUUCUGCUUCCAACAGUCCGCAAGGACAGACACACUACUGAAC